AUCGAACGCUGGCGGCAGGCCUAACACAUGCAAGUCGGACGGUAGCACCGGGAGCUAGCCCUCGGGUGACGUGUGGCGGACGGGUGAGUCAUGUCUGGGGAUCUGCCUGAUAGAGGGGGACAACCACUGGAAAUGGUGGCUAAUACCGCAUACCGUCGCCAGACCAAAGAGGGGGCCUUUCGGGCCUCUCACGAUCGGAUGACCGCAGACGGGAUUAGCUAGUAGGCGGGGUCAUGGCCCACCUAGGCGACGAUCCCUAGCUGGUCUGAGAGGAUGACCGGCCACUCUGGAACUGAGACACGGUCCAGACUCCUACGGGAGGCAGCAGUAGGGAAUAUUGCACAAUGGGCGCAAGACUGAUGCAGCCAUGCCGCGUGUAUGAAGAAGGCCUUCGGGUUGUAAAGUACUUUCAGCGGGGAGGAAGGCGGUGAGGAGAAUAACCUUGCCGAUUGACGUUACCCUCAGAAGAAGCACCGGCUAACUCCGUGCCAGCAGCCGCUGUAA
rnacentral:rRNA from 1 species